AGAGUUGAUCCGGGCUCAGGACGAACGCUGGCGGUAUGCCUAAUACAUGCAAGUCGAGCGAACAGAUGAAGUGCUUGCACUUCUGACGUUAGCGGCGAACGGGUGAGUAACACGUAAGGAAUCUACCUAUAAGCGGGGGAUAACAUUCGGAAACGGGUGCUAAUACCGCAUAAUAUCUUCUUCCGCAUGGAAGAAGAUUGAAAGACGGCUCUGCUGUCACUUAUAGAUGACCUUGCGGUGCAUUAGUUAGUUGGUGGGGUAACGGCCUACCAAGACGAUGAUGCAUAGCCGACCUGAGAGGGUGAUCGGCCACAUUGGGACUGAGACACGGCCCAAACUCCUACGGGAGGCAGCAGUAGGGAAUCUUCCGCAAUGGGCGAAAGCCUGACGGAGCAAUGCCGCGUGAGUGAAGAAGGCCUUCGGGUCGUAAAACUCUGUUAUAAGAGAAGAACAAAUUGGAGAGUAACUGCUACAGGCUAGACGGGAUCUUAUCAGAAAGCCACGGCUAACUACGUGCCAGCAGCCGCGGGAAUACGUAGGGGGCAAGCGUUGGCCGGAUUAAUUGGGCGGAAAGGGAGCGCAGGGGGUUUCCUAAGGCUGAAGGGAAAGCCCCGGCUUAACCGGGGAGGGGCAUUGGGAACCGGGAAACCUGGAGACAGAAGAGGAAGGGGGAACCCCAUGGGGAGCGGGGGAAAGCGAAGAU
rnacentral:rRNA from 1 species